ensembl:snRNA U6 U6 spliceosomal RNA
GUGAUGGCUUCAGCAACACAUAUUGUAAAAUUGGAAUGGUGCAGAGAAGAUUAGCAUGGCCCCUGCAUGAGGAUGACAUGAAAAUUUAUGAAGUGUUCCAUAUUUAA